UGUAAAUAACUUGUUUAAAGUUUGGGGAAUAUAGAAGGAAGUUAAGAAAAAUAAUUUAUAAUUUUAGUAAUUUUUAAUGAAAAUUAAGUAAAGACUAGAGAGAAAAGUACUGUGAAGGAAAGUUGUUGAGAUUUUAUAUAGAAAAAGUAAAAUUUUGUGCCUCGUGUAUCAGAAAAAAUUUAUAUAAUUUAGUUAAUGGUAAGUAUCUCGAAAUAAAAUAUAGUAAUUUUUAUAAAAUUUUCUUUUUAGAAAAAAAGAAUUUAAUAUAAAAUUUAAAGUGAAAUGCUAGCUGAGUUUUAUGAUAUCUAGUUUUUUAAAAAAUAAAUUUAAUUUAAUUUUUACGAAGAAAGAAUUGUAAAAUUAAAUGGUAGGGGGGAUUAGCUCUUUACGGAAAAGUCAAUGAAAUAGGUAGAUAUAAAGAAAUUAUAUAAAUUAGGCUUAGAAGUAGCUAUAUUGAAAAAGUGUUUUAACUAAAUUAUAAUUACUUGAAUAUUUAAGAUAACUUUUGUUAGGUAUUAAAAAAACGGUUUAAACAAAAUAAAACGAAAUAUAAUGAUUUUAUUAGUAAAAUUUAUUAAGUAAAUAAAAAU
rnacentral:rRNA from 1 species